rnacentral:rRNA from 1 species
AUACGGGGGGUGCAAGCGUUAAUCGGAAUUACUGGGCGUAAAGCGUACGUAGGCGGUUGGUUAAGUUAGAUGUGAAAGCCCCGGGCUUAACCUGGGAACUGCAUUUAAAACUGGCGAACUAGAGUUGAGUAGAGGGGAGUGGAAUUUCAGGUGUAGCGGUGAAAUGCGUAGAGAUCUGAAGGAACACCAGUGGCGAAGGCGACUCCCUGGACUCGAACUGACGCUGAGGUACGAAAGCGUGGGUAGCAAACGGGAUUAGAUACCCUAGUAGUCC